GAGGAAUCCAACUCUGAUACAGACGAUCGCCACACUACCCUGAGAUCAUGUCCUACUGUGCACAACCCCGACCCAAAAGCUACCCAGAGUCAAGAUCCUGGCUCAGAAGAGGGUGGAGAUGUAAUCCCAGUGGUGUUCGGACCAGAGGGUUGCAGACCAGAAGGACAUUUAGCCAACAUCACACACUGCGAGGAUGAAUGUGUUCUGAGUGAAAAGGAAAUGCCCUUCGAUGGGGACUCUGCUAGACCAGCGCUGUCGAGACUCAAGAACACCACAUCAGACCCAUCAUGCCUGGCUCAAGUCGACUCAGACAUGCUGCAACACUUUACAGAGCUGGCUGAACUCUCCAGCAUCACAGGCUCUCCUGGCCAGCACCAAGACGGGCUCUUUCGGACCUCCCUCAACAGGCCUCCUCCACCGUGCAACAGCACACCACGGAGCCUGGCGCAUUUGAAAUCCAACCCUACGGGCACUGAGGUGACCAACAGCCCCAUCCUGGAGGCUCCAGCAGUCCAGUGGACUUCUAUGUCUUUGAACUCUGAGAGCUUUACCACAGCAGCUGCAGAUGUUUCAGGGGACGGCCUCCAGGACAACCUGGUGGCCACAAACACUAUUCAGUCUCCAUUCUUGAAAGUCGACCCUGGCCCCCAGCCUCCUAGUCACCUCCUGCAGAGCCCUGACUUGAACCUUGCUGGCUCCACGGACCGGGCACAGUGUCCUGGGCCUGGGAAGGAGCAGAGAGGAGCCGGGAGGGAGGCAGUGGAGGGAAGGCAAGAGGAGCAACAUGCCGAGGGAGCAGGACCGUGUGCAGGGUUGGAUGAGGGGGAUAGAAGUGGACAGCAGGGGGAUGGGAAGGGCCACUGUGUGGAGGCAGCGGAGCAUGCAGGACCGGACCACCGAGGCGCCACUGAGCAGCCUCUGCCUGGAGGCUGUGGCGCUGCUAGUGUUAUGAACAGAGAGUUGAAGGGACUGCUGGACGACGAUGAGGAAGGAGCCCUACACAAGGCUUGUGCUGACCAGUGUGGAGACCUUCAACCAGUUGGAGGCAAACCCUCAGAAGACCCCAGCUCACUGGAAUGGAGUGACAGGGCUCACUCUACUUUGGACGAGGCCCUUGCAGAUAGCAGAACUCCCAGACUCGUAGGGCCGGCCGGGGCCACGGAGACGGGAAGCCCCAGGUGA
rnacentral:lncRNA from 1 species